rnacentral:lncRNA from 1 species
GGCAACCCGCUUGGGUCCCCUUCCACGCUGUGCGAGCUUUGUUCUUUCGCUUUUUGCAAUAAAUCUUGCUACUGCUCACUCUUUGGGUCCACGCUGCUUUUAUGAGCUGUAACACUCACCGCGAAGGUCUGCAGCUUCACUCCUGAAGCCAGUGAGACCACGAGCCCACCGGAAGGAACGAACAACUCCAGACGCGCCACCUUAAGAGCUGUAACCCUCACCGCGAAGGUCCACGGCUUCAUUCCUGAGCCAGCGAGACCACGAACCCACCAGAAGGAAGAAACUCCAAACACAUCCGAACAUCAGAAGGAGAAAACUCCAGAUGCGCCACCUUAAGAGCUGUAACACUCACCGCGAGGGUCCGCAGCUUCAUUCUUGAAGUCAGUGAGACCAAGAACCCACCAAUUCUGGACACGCUACCUCGAUCCAGAUGAAGGUACCCCAAGCAGCUUGAGAUGUGAUGAUGGAGACCAGUUUGAGAAGACCCAUCAUCUCUGAUUUCCCUCUGAUUAUGAAGUAAUACAACAAAGCUACAGUAAGUGGACUGAUACGGUGGUGAUUGCAAACUGUUUCUAACUUCUCUCAUUUACUGGCUGGUGUCUUUAGAGGUAGCAUUGCAUUUCAUUGGCAUAUGUUUUAUUUAGUCUUUCUAAAUUAAAAAAGUAUAUAUCUGUUAUUUUCACACAUUAGGAAGUAAGAAAGGAUGUUAAAGAUACCUAUUUCUGUUUUUAGUAAACAAAGCUUAUUGAAAAAGUCUUUUUUGUAUUUGCUAAGAAUGUUUUUCAUUAACAAUGGCUAUUUUCUAAUAUUGGAGUACACUGAUGCUUCCAUGGGUCAUUGAUGUCAGCAAAGCUUGCUUGCCUAGGCAUUCUUAUUUGUAUAAAUUAUUCUGAUGGUAAUCCGGCUAUUUCCAAACACAGUGAUCUCUUCCGAGUUCAUCCUCAUUCUUUGUAGCUGGCUCCUUCUUUAUGGCCAAAUCACUUGGCUCUGGGUGGUUUUGUUUCUAUUGCUUCUCAAACUUCCAUUCUAAUUUGAAUUUGCAUUUGUAAAAUCACUGCCCAAAUUUCUGAUCGUAAUCUAGCAAGCGUGUAAAGACAAUAAAAACAAAAGAAGUUGCAUAAUUUUUAUUGUAGAAAAAUAAAUCCUUCUGUCUUCUGUGAUAUAUUCAAUAUGAAGAAUUUCUUCCUCUCCUAAA